GACGAACGCUGGCGGCGUGCCUAAUACAUGCAAGUUGAGCGCUGAAGGUUGGUACUUGUACCGACUGGAUGAGCAGCGAACGGGUGAGUAACGCGUGGGGAAUCUGCCUUUGAGCGGGGGACAACAUUUGGAAACGAAUGCUAAUACCGCAUAAAAACUUUAAACACAAGUUUUAAGUUUGAAAGAUGCAAUUGCAUCACUCAAAGAUGAUCCCGCGUUGUAUUAGCUAGUUGGUGAGGGAAAGGCUCACCAAGGCGAUGAUACAUAGCCGACCUGAGAGGGAGAUCGGCCACAUUGGGAAUGAGACACGGCCCAAACUCCUACGGGAGGCAGCAGUAGGGAAUCUUCGGCAAUGGACGAAAGUCUGACCGAGCAACGCCGCGUGAGUGAAGAAGGUUUUCGGAUCGUAAAACUCUGUUGGUAGAGAAGAACGUUGGUGAGAGUGGAAAGCUCAUCAAGUGACGGUAACUACCCAGAAAGGGACGGCUAACUACGUG
rnacentral:rRNA from 1 species